GAAAAGACUGUAGAGAACAACAAAAAAUGGGGCUGGAGGUAGGGUUUGGGGAGUUGGAUUUUCUUGUUUUGUUUUGUUUUUAUAAUAUCAUUCCUGCAUGGCUGGUUAUUAUUCUUUGGCACAUCUCAGUAUGUUUCAGUACCAGGAGGUGGCACUGGCAAUCACAGGGAUCCGUAGCAGACCUGACGGGAAUACCGCCUGCAGAAGAAUGGGAGACAGCCUCUCUCUAGCCAAUAUUCUGAACUGAGUCCCAGCAAAGCUCAUCAAACUGUUAUCAGGUCAGAUGUAUUUAAUUCUUCCAAAAUACUUCUUCAAAAGAUUUGAUGUUCCCUGAGAAGGCAGAAGUUUACGUUGGAGUUACAAAUUUAAGGGAUGUCAUACAGGAGGAAUAAUUAAAUUGCUGUGAUGUUGAACAAAAAUACUAGAAAAGCUGCUAACAAAUUGCCAAAGCAUUAAUAAUGGCAUUUGGAGUAAGCUUGUUUUAUGUUCUCUCCUGUCAAAAGAGUUUUUUGAUGGAUAUUGGAGAAUUUAGGUCAAGCUACAAUAAAAGCAGACUUUGAAGAAAGUUUAUCAGCAAUUUGAAGACCCUCAUUAUUUUGUGGGUUCCAGACUCUGGAAUGAGCUUAGUGUGAGCUGUUGCCUGAAAUCAUGGAUGACUGAUGGACUGGUCAUUACUUUAUAUUAUCCCUUUUCCUCCUUUCUCAUUUAACACACAAAAAGCAUUGAUUUGCCUUCUCCAUUUUUAUCAGAGACUUGAUGCGUCAUUAAGCCCCUGUUUAAAAGCCAAAAUAAAUAUUUCAAGUGUCUAGCACCCACAGUAAAGACCAUGACCAGGAAGGGUCUGCGGUGAGGCUUGUGAGGAACUCUGAAAGUGCCUGCCAACGUUUUCCUCAAUCAAAACUAUGUAAAAUAUUUGAGAGGGGAAGGCUGACAUUUGAAUUAAGAGUUGUUGAGCAUUAAGUGUUUUUGAGACUGAAGAUCUGGCAGCAUAUAAGGUGAACUGAAUAGCAGCUUAUCUGUUUGGCUGGAAUUCCCGGACUAACAAGUCAGUUGUCCAGGAAGCCGACUGAUUGCUGAGGGAGAAGUGGGUCUGGAAAAAAAAAUACAUAUUUUUUUUUUUUUACUGAGGAUGCUUUCACAGGUGCCCUUCUAUUUUGCUGAUUAUUCCCAAACAGUUUUUUUCCCCCAUCUACGUACAAGGCUCACCUCUUGCCAGUGUUUUGCUCCUGAAGGGCCACUUUCUGAUUAGAUAUCAGGGAGGGGCCAAAAAAAACCCAUUCAGAUUGUCCGUUGCUGGCUGGCCUUCUUGUCCUGCGCUCCUCACCAGAAACAAAUUCUGUUUCACCUGCAGCCAGUUCACAGAUUUUGCCCAGGCUGAUUUUAUUCACUGGAACAGUUAAGGCAUUCACAAAUAAUAAAGAAUAACAGUGAAACACCAAUUGAAAUAACAAAUCUUUCCCUCAGCUGGUUUUAUUUGAAAAUUCUGAAAUUGUUUCUCCAUAAAUUGAGCUCCUUAUUGAAGAAAACAUUUCUUAAGCAAAAAGAAGUGUCACAGGGCAUGACAAGGAACUUACAUUUUAAGUCCAUGCUGGAAGAAGGGCAUAGGUGCAAAGUACUAGUCUGUGUAAAUUCUCUAUAGAAAAGUGUUCUGUAAUUUCAUAAGGAUGGAAUGAAAAGAAACUUAGAGAAAAUUAGCUAAAGAGGACUUAAUAGAUUGCAAAAUAUUUGUAAGAAUUUUUUCAGCCAUCUCAUGGCAUUCAGUUAUGAUGCUAUACAAUGCUUAACUUCCAUAUGCAGAAAAUACUACUCUUGAGAAUGAUACUUUGAUUUCUAUGCCUUAUUUCCACAUGGGCUGGGCAGCUUCAUUGUGGCCAAACCUGCCACACGAGAUCAAGUUGAUAUGUCAGCCAUAGCUUAAACGGUUGUCAGGAACAGUGAAGGAAUGAUGGGGGAACCCCUGACUCUUCAUUCAAAAACUGCUUGUAUAUAGAGGAAUGAUUCCUCGGAGACUUAACACUUGCUGUUAGAAAUGAUACGACUUUUUUAAUAUGAAGCUCACAUCUUUGUACACAGAUUCUUUUCUCAAGAUAAAGAUCUUUUGGCCUUGAGUGCAGGAAGUUUCUCCUGUCACCUAAUGAGGAAGCUUAAAGUAUACAUGAAUACAGUCAUGCCCCUGGAAUUAAAACAAAAAAAGAAUCCAAGAGAUGGGAUCCUGAUUCAAGAAAGUACCUAGCUACCUGCACAGGUGCUUGCCUGAAAUAGCUUUGCUAUGCUAUGAGGAAAAAGUUGGGGUUUUUGGAUGGCCAUACUAAAACGUGAAAAGCAUUGUUUUGAAGUACUGCUGGCUUUUCCUACAGUUCAUCACAAAUCUUGUUAGGAAAUCAAGAAAGGAAACUGGGCGACCACGCUGUUCAGCCACAAGGAAAUGCACAAUGAGCAUAAUGAAGCCAGCAGCUGCAGGACAAUGGGAACAGAGUGGGGCUAUUUUUGUUAGAUGUGAACAAUCAAUUGAACG